rnacentral:lncRNA from 1 species
GCGGCCUUCGGAACAACGGCAACCCCAGUGCAGCACCGAUGCUACAGUUCGCCAUAAAGUCGGCCACAUCAUUGAGCUCUCAAAACGUAUGACGGAAUACAACAUCCCACUGCCUGCUGCAAAGCCUUUUAAUAUGCCACAAAUGAAUUAGAUUAGCAUUAUCACAUUCAACUUCAAUUUUCCUAUACCUCCUGCCAAGUACUGAGAAGACCGCUGCAGCUGCCAACUGC